CCAAAGAGUAAAGUUCACUUUCCUAAAAGACAUUGACCGACACACCUAAACUCUCUCCCCCAAAUUGACAUCGAAGCUACCUAAUUGGCGCCGUCGACUGGACUGAGAAAGCUUCUGCGAUUACGUUAGACCGGGCAGUCAAUACAUAUCAGAGUAGCUUCAUCUUCAAAGUGACGAACAAAACCUCAAAGUAACAAUCUUAAGAGCAGCUGCUGUAGAAACGAGUGAAGAACAAACAGAUCUGUGUUGCGCAAGUACUAGCUAUCUAGAACAAUUCAAUUCAACGAAGGAUCACCAACGUGAGAAGCACAUUGUGAUAUGGAUUCACCUGGUAUUAUUACUCUCAAUUGUUCAAUAUCCGGCCAUCCAUAUGAGAAUUUCCCCACUACAGCAUGUUGGAGUUCUUCAAUUUCCUUCAUUUGAUUCACUUCAGUCUCUGUCCAUUUGACAUAAGGUUUGAAAAGACUUGCACAUUGUGGUUUGGUAGGAUCGAUUUGUGGUAGAGUAGUCUCUUGUGGGAUUGUCAAAGAAGGCUGGCCAACCACCAAGGUGGUCUGACCAGCGGCCAUGAAGGCCAAAAUCAGUGUGUUGAAGAUCUAGGUUUUAGGAUUUGCAUGAAAUUAGGAUGAGAGAGAAGAGAGCAGCUUUGACAUUAACUACAAAUCUCGCUAAUAUGGCUUUAUUUUAUUUAAACGCUCUUGUAUUUUAUUUUGCUUGACCAUUUUCCCUUGUUUACUAUAUUUA